rnacentral:rRNA from 1 species
UACGAAGGGUGCAAGCGUUACUCGGAAUUACUGGGCGUAAAGCGUGCGUAGGCGGUUUGUUAAGUCCGUUGUGAAAGCCCUGGGCUCAACCUGGGAAUUGCAGUGGAUACUGGCGAGCUAGAGUGCGGUAGAGGAUGGUGGAAUUCCCGGUGUAGCGGUGAAAUGCGUAGAGAUCGGGAGGAACACCCGUGGCGAAGGCGGCCAUCUGGACCAGCACUGACGCUGAGGCACGAAAGCGUGGGUAGCAAACAGG